AGAGCAGGCUGGCUAAGACUGCAGAGUGCAGGUGAAUCACCUGUGGGUCUCAUCCGAAUGCAGAUUUAACGGAGUGGGUUUGACGUAGAACCCAGAUUUUCUAUUUCUCACAAACUCCCAGCGAUGCUAAAACGUCCACAGGUCACACCUGGAGAUGCAGGGAUCUGGGUUGAAGACGCUAACACAUCUGAGCCACUCUUGGGAAAAACAGCAAGUCCACUCAACUGGUGCUUUCUUAAAAGCUUGAGAUGGAAAAUAGGCAUGUGACCUUGAAUGAAAUAUUACUAUAAAGACAUGUUCAUAGAAGGAACCCUGAGAUGAAAGUUGAAAGGUCUUGUAAACUUACCUGUAUGACACAGCCCACCCCUGCUUCACUUUGCUUCACUUUCCUCCAUCCUGAGUUGAAAGUAACAAAUCACCUCAAGCUGAUUAAUGCACGUGCUGUUGUUUGGCAUCAAGCUGAUUAAUGUCCAUGCUAUUGUUUGGAACGAAGCCUUAUGGAAAACCCAGGUUCUAACCCAUGCUGUUUUUCUUGUCUUUUUCUCUAUAGGAGAUGUCAGUGAAAAAGGGGGCGCAGAAUGAUUACUAACCCAUGACUCCCAACAGUAUGACAGUUCCCAGCUCUCGCUCCCUUAAUGGACUGAGAACCGCUGCCAGAGAAACGAGAGAAAAACCUGAGAUAGCAAACCUGAAUUCACCUGCACGCGCGGGCAGAGAGGCUGGGCUCAACAAGAGGGAAAAUUAAUAGGCGGGUGCUCGGGAAAAGGAGGCCAAAACCACAGCGAUGGAAAGCAGCCUAUCUGAACACGGAGGCUGAUUUUGCAAGACUUGGCCCACAGGACGACAUUUCUGAGGACGCGUUUCAAAUAACUGGAGGAUGGCAGAGCAGGGUCCUUCGGCGAUCUUGUUUAUAAAGUUUCCAGGAGUAAGCCCUAAUGGGAAAGUUUGAGCACAAUUUCCCCCAUCUCAAUAUUUCAUUCAUUCAUUCAUUCUGUAUGUAUAUCAAUUCAAUCUAAUAAAAGGUUUUCUCUCUAAAUUUUCAAAUAAAAUGUUACUAUUUGUUUCUCACACUGUGAGAGGCAGAUGCUAGGGCCCUCCCAGUGCCCAGUUUCUUUGGAGACCUCUGCUCAGAUCUUGAAAUAACCAUAGAUACAUGUUGUUGUUCGGUUGCUCAGUCAUGUCCAACUCUUUGUGACCCAAUGGACUGCAGCACGCCAGGCCU
rnacentral:lncRNA from 1 species